GCAUGGCCAGUUCAUGGUUAUCAGUUUAUAGCAGUGAGCAACUUGCUUUGCACCAGAUUCGAUGCUGAUGUCUUAUCAAACCAUAUUAUCUUGUCCUGGGUAUUGUAGCAUAGGUACCUUAUUUAGUUUGACUAGUAACUAGGUAGACUCUAGAGUAGCAUAGGUACCGUAUUCCUUCUGACUAGUAAAUUAUCCUGGGCAAUGUUUAAUUUUGGGAAUAAGGACACACUUGCUCGAGUGGUUUGUUAACAAAAUUACUUACCCAUAUUUACUUGAGUUGCUGACCUUUGCAGCUUCUAGAUGUAAAAAUAUAUAUGCUUUCUUUGACUUACCUGGUCUUUAACAUGGUCAGAUAUAACUUGCAAGCUUUACCUGAUCAUUUUUCUAGACCAAAUUCAGCAGGGACUCCAUUAGUAUUGAUCUAAUUGCAGAUGUCUUAGGGAUUACACCAACCAGAGGCUUCUUGAGGAACUUGACUUGCUUUGUAUCUAUGUCUACCAUCGUCAGAGUGUAUAAUAUUUUAGCUGGCUUCUAAAUUUGUAAUGCACAUAAAACUGUCCUUUUAUG
rnacentral:lncRNA from 1 species